rnacentral:rRNA from 1 species
AUUGAACGCUGGCGGCAUGCCUUACACAUGCAAGUCGAACGGUAACAGGUCUUCGGAUGCUGACGAGUGGCGAACGGGUGAGUAAUACAUCGGAACGUGCCUAGUAGUGGGGGAUAACUACUCGAAAGAGUGGCUAAUACCGCAUGAGAUCUACGGAUGAAAGCAGGGGAUCGCAAGACCUUGUGCUACUAGAGCGGCCGAUGGCAGAUUAGGUAGUUGGUGGGAUAAAAGCUUACCAAGCCGACGAUCUGUAGCUGGUCUGAGAGGACGAUCAGCAACAGUGGGACGGAGACACGGCCCAGACUCCUACGGGAGGCAGCAGUGGGGAAUUUUGGACAAUGGGCGCAAGCCUGAUCCUGCAAUGCGGCGUGCAGGAUGAAGGUCUUCGGGUUGUAAACUGCUUUUGUACGGAAUGAAAAGCCCUGGGUUAAUACCCUGGGGUCAUGACGGUACCGUAAGAAUAAGCACCGGCUAACUACGUGCCAGCCGCCGCGGUAA